rnacentral:lncRNA from 1 species
GUAGCUCAUGGACUUGGUUGUUGGACUUAUUUCAUUCAUCGGCCUAUGCCUAUGAAAUAAUAUUAACCCACGUUAACAUCAUAGCCCGGGAUUUAUUGGGUAUCAAAAAACCCAACAAAUCUCCACCUUGAUGCCCAAUAAAUCUGCAAGCAAUCAAAACACACAGUUGACACUUGCAUAAUCAAGGUAGCCAAUAAAAUUGGAUCACACACCUUACCUCGUGUUUCCAACUUGAAACACAUACCAUACCUGCUCCAUGUACUCACUUGGGCUAAGGUCAAAAAACACCCAAGUAGAAGCAAAUAUUUAACAGUAAACAAUCAAGAGCAAAUACACAUGCGAUGACGAUAUACUAUAGGAUAACACACACAGAUCUUUUCAGAAACACGUUCACAUAGAACCAUAGAUUAACACCAAGUCAAUCAAACCACGGUCAACCACAUAUGCAACACAUGCAUAAAUGACCCUAAGAAAAGAUCUCAC